rnacentral:rRNA from 1 species
CCCUACGGGAGGCAGCAGUGGGGAAUUUGGACAAUGGGGGAAACCCUGAUCCAGCCAUUCCGCGGAGUGAAGAAGGCCUUCGGGUGUAAAGCUCAUUCGGCCGGAAGGAAACGGCGAGCUCUAACACAGCUCGAUAAGACGGUACCGAAGAGAAGCACAGCUACAC